CUCAUUCAAUAGUCAUUCGUUCCACACGGCCCGUCACCGGCUAUAUAAACGCUUCUACCCCAGAGAACAGUUUCCUUGCCACGCCACCCCCUCUCCUCUUCCUUAGAUCUCGUUUCCUCUCUCUCUCGUCGCUUUCCUCGCCCGGUCUCUCGUUUCAGAUUUUAAUUUCUUAAAAAAUUUCAUCAAUGGGAACUGUGGUGGAUGCUCCUGCAACAACAAAUGCAAGCAAGGAUGUCAGUGAGAACCACUUGGGUGACAAGCAAGUCACAGUUGUGUUUGUUUUAGGUGGUCCUGGCAGUGGGAAGGGUACACAGUGUGCCAAUAUCGUUGAGCAUUUUGGGUUCACUCAUCUUAGUGCUGGUGAUCUUCUGCGUGCAGAAAUUAAAUCUGGUUCUGAAAAUGGCACCAUGAUUCAGAACAUGAUAAAGGAGGGAAAGAUUGUCCCUUCUGAGGUAACCAUUAAGCUUUUACAAAGGGCCAUGCUUGAAAGUGAAAACAACAAAUUUCUGAUUGAUGGCUUCCCACGGAAUGAAGAGAACCGUGCUGCAUUUGAGGAAGUUACAAAGAUAGUACCCGAGUUUGUAUUGUUUUUUGAUUGUUCAGAGGAAGAAAUGGAGAAGCGUCUUUUGAGUCGUAACCAGGGGAGAGAAGAUGAUAAUAUUGAUACCAUAAGGAAACGUUUUAAAGUUUUUGUGGAAUCCAGCUUACCUGUAGUUGAGUAUUACAAUUCAAAGAGCAAGGUUAAGAAGAUUGAUGCUGGAAAGCCUAUUAAUGAGGUCUUUGAAGAUGUUAAAGGCAUUUUCUCCCUGUUUGCAUGAAAAGGCAUCUUAGAGCUGCAGGGAGGAUAAUAUCAUAAUAAACAUAAUAAAAGGUACCUCUGUAGAGCGCUGCCUAAAUAAAGUUUUAGCAUGGAUGAGUUCAUGUAGAAGAAACUCACUGCUCAUCUGUAUUGCGUCUUUGUAUUAUCAUACGAGCUUUAUUUUUUGGGGACUGCUCAAUAAUGUCUCAAAGGAUGUUGUCUUAAGAUUUUGCUAAGCUCUGUGAGACUUAUAGUUGAGGAUUUCAUUGAUGUUGGAACUGAUUUAUAUCUUAAUUAAAUCCUUUCAUAUUAUUUUUAUGAC